CAUAACUUUAAUUUGUGAUAUUAUGAUUGACCUCAGACAUCCUGAGGAGUAUCUGUGUCUUAUUAUAGUGUUAUCUGCUAAAUCAUGUCUCCUCAAAAUUCAUAGGUUGAGGUUCUGACCACCAGUACCUCAGAAUGUGACUACAUUUGGAGAAAGGGCCUUUAAAGGGGGUCAGGGAGUGUUUAAAGUAUAAUAAAUGGAUAUGCAUAGGCCGUGAGCCAAUAUAACUGUUUUCCUUAUGAGAGAAUAUUAGGGCACAGAGAGUACACAAAGGGAAGGCUAUGUGAAGACACAGAAGAUGGCCAUCUACCAGCCAAGGUUGGAAGCCUCAGAAGAAGCCAACCCUGUUGACACCUCGAUCUUGGACUUCCAGCCUCCGGAACUGUGAGGGAAUAAACUAUUAUUUAAGCCAUCUAGUUUUUGUUCCUUUGUUGUGACAUCUCUAGAAAACUAAUACAUUUUGGUGUAUAUAUAGAUCUAAAAAUAAUAGACAUACCUAUAUAAAAAUGUGCUGUGUUCUGGUAGUAAUAAUAAGGAAAAAUAGAGAAUAUACCCAAAUUUAUCUCAGAUAAUAACCCAAUGUGAAUAUCACUAAAUGACUAAUUCCUCUUUUUUGUAAUAUAUUGAAAUGAAACAUCAUAUAAUGAAAUCCCAUACGUACCUAGGUGAAAACCUGAACUCUAUUCUGCACUGCAUAGGAGACUCUAUGUAGGUUUGGUGCUUGAAAAACAAAUUUUUGGACAUGUUAUCAGUGAAGUGGACUUGGAAACACAAAGAUUGUGGUUAAUGCUAAGAUCUGAAAUAUGUGGGUUUUAACCUAAUAUGCAAGUAUACCAAACAAAGGUAAUGCCUAUCUUGGUCAGGAUUGGUUUAAGAACUGUGGAGCCCAAGACUAGAUGAUGUUGUAGAAGAAAGCAGCAAAACAUGAAGCCAGCCAAAGAGGUUGUAUUAUCACUGUUAUACUAAUAAUUUACUGCCUUUACUAGAGAAAAAUGAAGCUAGUCUAUAAUAAUUCAGUUUUCUAUAAUUACACUGACUCCUUUUAAUUGUCUGAUUUCUGCUAAAUGAGCUUGAAGAUCAUCUUUCAGAUUAUAUUAGUCAGAAUUUUUCCUUGGUUUGGUACAAAUAAGCAGCAUGAUUCAGAUGUAUUUUUUUUUACUUUGGCUAUAAUUUAGUUUCAUUUCAUUCC
rnacentral:lncRNA from 1 species